rnacentral:rRNA from 1 species
UCUACGGGGGGCAGCAGUGGGGAAUAUUGGACAAUGGGCGAAAGCCUGAUCCAGCCAUGCCGCGUGUGUGAAGAAGGCCUUCGGGUUGUAAAGCACUUUCAGUGGGGAAGAAAGCCUUGGGGCUAAUACCCUCGAGGAAGGACAUCACCCACAGAAGAAGCACCGGCUAACUCCGUGCCAGCAGCCGCGGUAAUACGGAGGGUGCGAGCGUUAAUCGGAAUUACUGGGCGUAAAGCGCGCGUAGGCGGUCUGAUAAGCCGGUUGUGAAAGCCCCGGGCUCAACCUGGGAACGGCAUCCGGAACUGUCAGGCUAGAGUGCAGGAGAGGAAAGUAGAAUUCCCGGUGUAGCGGUGAAAUGCUUAGAGAUCGGGAGGAAUACCAGUGGCGAAGGCGGCCUUCUGGACUGACACUGACGCUGAGGUGCGAAAGCGUGGGUAGCAAACAGGAUUAGAUACCCGAGUAGUC